AUGGUGCAUAUAUGUAAGGAUCCGCAAAUUAUGCGCCCAUUUCUCACAUAUAUUCUUGAUAGUGUGAACGAGUUGUUUGCAGUCCCGUAUGCAAACUACAUUAUGCAGAAGAUGAUUGAAGUGGUUCAUGGGUUACACUUGAACAUGAUAGUGGAUGUGGUGAGGCGCAACAUGGUCACAUUGAUGGGGCUGCAGUUGCUUGUAGUGCCUGAAAAUCUCACAGUGCAUCCUAAUCCCCUAGGUGGACUUUGGAUUAGUGGUUGGGGGCGACCCUGGUUGAAUGCAGGUGUGUGUGCGUGGGGGGGGGGAUUUAUGGAAGGGAUUAGUGGUUGGGGGCGACCCUGGUUGAAUGCAGGUGUGUGUGCGUGGGGGGGGGGGAUUUAUGGAAGGCUUUGCCAGGAUCUCCCACCACAACGCACCUUGCCAACACCAGCUACCACGCUGCUCAUCGAAGGGCCCAUCUCUGUAGCACACAAUCCAGGACCGCUGCCUUGGCAUCCAAGAUCGCCACCCCACUGCCAUCGCAACACAAGACUGCCACCAAGGAAGCACUUUUGUGUGAACAUCAUUGGCUUGGAGCUAGACCGCCACCAGCCACACGAAGAGGGAACCUCUGGCAAUGUGGCCCGAUCUGACCUGGAUCUAGCCCCAAAACAAACGGUGUGGCCGAGGACAGGGCUUGCCGGGCAACAACCACUAUGGAGCCAAAUUCGGCAGCUCCAGAUCCGGUUGAGGCCGCACCCUCAAAUCCCGUUACACCCCUAUCCUAGGAACCCUGCCGAAGAAACUUCAUUGACGACUCAGCCACCGCCUGCCGGUCGCCAUGGUCCUUCGCGUCGCCCCUCUAGGCUUGUUCCGGCGUUGUGUGCCCUUCGAGGAAUACCGCCACGUGCCCAGGCCAAAGAGGAGAACGAUCUGGACUGCUCGGGACCAACAGAGCCACAACCACGUCCGGUCGAAAUCACCACCCUGAGCACGCCUAGUCCUGCCACCACGAGCCUGCCCCGCGGCAUGCCGCCGGAGCCCCGCAAGAGAGCACCCCGCCGCGGACAACGGCCGCUCGGGCUUCGCCCGGUGGCACCCUCCGACUACAACGCGGGGAGGAAGGAGUUUGGGACAGGUCUAUGGCUGUUUGAAUCUUUCUUCGACAUUAUGGUGAAGAUUGAGAUCAUCCAUACUCAACUAAUUAGAUCUGAAUUUCGUACUGAGAUGGAUAACAAAGGCAAAUCCAAGGCCAUUGACGAUUACGUGCGAACGGCAUCCCAGUUCCAUCGUAGCAGCGGGAUAGACAGCGGCAAAGAGAUAUGGGAGGACGAUGCUGCCACCAUUGCUCUUGGUGGCCGUCAACGUGACAGGAGCCUUUUCCUCAGCUUCUUAGAUGAACAGAUCAUAUCUAGAUUGAGAUAUGGUGACUCUCUGUUUCCCAUUAAGAGGUUGCACCGUAGACAUUUAGCGCGCGUGCGACAUUUAGUCGUCCUCCCCCUCGCUGGGGUUGUGUGUGAAAUAAGUUGUCAAAUCAUACUUCCUUGGAGACCAACCCCAGAGGACCCCUCCCCUCUUGGCUGCACAAUCUCCAUCCCACGAUUUGCAAUUUUUGGCCAAGAAAUCCAAAAACUGCCCUCUAAUGGAAAGAACUACCAUGACAGUUUCUAA
rnacentral:rRNA from 1 species